CCAGCAGCUGCGGUAAUUCCAGCUCCAAUAGCGUAUAUUAAAGUUGCUGCAGUUAAAAAGCUCGUAGUUGGACUUUUGGGGGACCAUGGCUUCUUCCGGUCUGCCGCAAGGCAGUACUGGGCCAACACGGGUCCCCCGAAUCCUUCCGAAGACCACGGGUUCCCUUCACCGGGAGCUCGAUCAUGGGAUUCGGAACGUUUACUUUGAAAAAAUUAGAGUGUUCAAAGCCGGCCAUGUUGCGCUUGAAUACAUUAGCAUGGAAUAAUGGAAUAGGACUUUGGUCUUAUUUUGUUGGUUUGCGAGACCGAAGUAAUGAUUAAUAGGGACAGUUGGGGGCAUUAGUAUUUAAUUGUCAGAGGUGAAAUUCUUGGAUUUAUGAAAGACUAACUUCUGCGAAAGCAUUUGCCAAGGAUGUUUUCAUUAAUCAAGAACGAAAGU
rnacentral:rRNA from 1 species